AUUGAACGCUGGCGGCAUGCCUUACACAUGCAAGUCGAACGGUAGAGGGGGCAACCCCUUGAGAGUGGCGAACGGGUGAGUAAUGCAUCGGAACGUGCCCAGUCGUGGGGGAUAGCCCGGGGAAACCCGGAUUAAUACCGCAUACGACCUGAGGGUGAAAGCGGGGGACCGGUAACGGCCUCGCGCGAUUGGAGCGGCCGAUGUCGGAUUAGCUAGUUUGUGGGGUAAAGGCCUACCAAGGCGACGAUCCGUAGCUGGUCUGAGAGGACGACCAGCCACACGGGGACUGACACACGGCCCAGACUCCUACGGGAGGCAGCAGUGGGGAAUUUUGGACAAUGGGGGCAACCCUGAUCCAGCCAUGCCGCGUGCGGGAAGAAGGCCUUCGGGUUGUAAACCGCUUUUGUCAGGGAAGAAAUCCUUUGGGCUAAUACCCUGGGGGGAUGACGGUACCUGAAGAAUAAGCACCGGCUAACUACGUGCCAGCCGCCGCAGUAA
rnacentral:rRNA from 1 species